rnacentral:lncRNA from 1 species
CGAAACGUAAAUGUUACUUUUUUGGUGUAUGAAAAAUGAUUACUAUUUCUGUGUAAUAUUUUAGUCUCUGAAAAAGGAUCCAAUCCAUCAGAAAAGGAAAUGCUGUAAGGCUUAUUCCAAAGCUAAAUCAGUAUGCCUGUUAGAAUCUUUCUCAUCUUUACCUCAAGAAUCUGUUUCUUCUAGAAGAUAUUUGAGAAAGGCUGCAAUAAAAAGCCCUUCCUUCACAGUGGGAAUGAACUGCC